GUAAAUAGUAAAUUUCAAAUUUCAAACUUAAAAUUGAUUUAGAAAAACCUACAAAUUUGGAUGUGACCCCCAAGAACAUGUCGAAGUCUUAGUCUUAGCUACCUAUCAACCUAAUAUCCUACUCGCUAUUAUCUACUUAUAUCUAGAAACCUAAAUGAUCAAAUUUGAUCGCCUUUGCGAUUGCCAUGAGGCUCUUGGCGAACGGGACAGGUGAGAACAGGUGCGGUGCCGGUGCCUUCCUAUCCAAUGACUUCCUUGGGCUCGUCUCCAAAUGUCUCCUGUUCGUCCUUCUUGCUGUCAGCCUGUCGCUUGAGCCUCAAUUUCUUAAAUUCUUUGGUCGCUAUGGCAUCGAAAGUCUCGUCGAAAAAUGGCAGCAGCCAUCCAGCCAGCGGCAACCGUCUUUUUGACGGUAUUCCUGAGUUUCCUGAGAUUCUCUAUGAUCUCUAUGAUCUUCGGAAUGCCCGCAUUGAUCUUCGG
rnacentral:lncRNA from 1 species